rnacentral:rRNA from 1 species
UACGUAGGGUGCGAGCGUUAAUCGGAAUUACUGGGCGUAAAGCGUGCGCAGGCGGUUCGUGAUGUCUGAUGUGAAAGCCCCGGGCUCAACCUGGGAAUUGCAUUGGAAACUAGCGGGCUGGAGUGUGGCAGAGGGGGGUGGAAUUCCACGUGUAGCAGUGAAAUGCGUAGAGAUGUGGAGGAACACCGAUGGCGAAGGCAGCCCCCUGGGUCAACACUGACGCUCAUGCACGAAAGCGUGGGGAGCAAACAGG